AUCUAUAGCCAUACCACCGUAAUCAUGCCUAAUCUCCUCUUAUCUCAGAAGUUAAGCAGGGUCAGGCCUGGUUAUUACUUGGAUUGGGGAGAAUAAAUCCAUGUAGAAA
rnacentral:rRNA from 1 species